AGCGAACGCUGGCGGCAGGCUUAACACAUGCAAGUCGAACGGGCAUAGCAAUAUGUCAGUGGCAGACGGGUGAGUAACGCGUGGGAACGUACCUUUUGGUUCGGAACAACUGAGGGAAACUUCAGCUAAUACCGGAUAAGCCCUUACGGGGAAAGAUUUAUCGCCGAAAGAUCGGCCCGCGUCUGAUUAGCUAGUUGGUGAGGUAAUGGCUCACCAAGGCGACGAUCAGUAGCUGGUCUGAGAGGAUGAUCAGCCACAUUGGGACUGAGACACGGCCCAAACUCCUACGGGAGGCAGCAGUGGGGAAUACUGGACAAUGGGCGAAAGCCUGAUCCAGCCAUGCCGCGUGAGUGAUGAAGGCCCUAGGGUUGUAAAGCUCUUUUGUGCGGGAAGAUAAUGACGGUACCGCAAGAAUAAGCCCCGGCUAACUUCGUGCCAGCAGCCGCGGUAAUACGAAGGGGGCUAGCGUUGCUCGGAAUCACUGGGCGUAAAGGGUGCGUAGGCGGGUCUUUAAGUCAGAGGUGAAAUCCUGGAGCUCAACUCCAGAACUGCCUUUGAUACUGAAGGUCUUGAGUAUGACAGAGGUGAGUGGAACUGCGAGUGUAGAGGUGAAAUUCGUAGAUAUUCGCAAGAACACCAGUGGCGAAGGCGGCUCACUGGGUCAUAACUGACGCUGAGGCACGAAAGCGUGGGGAGCAAACAGGAUUAGAUACCCUGGUAGUCC
rnacentral:rRNA from 1 species